UCUGGUCGAUGGAACAAU
rnacentral:snRNA from 1 species